rnacentral:pre_miRNA from 1 species
CUCAGGGUGGGGGGGUCCCUCAGCCAGGAUUGCGAGGGGGCACAGGCCCGGCCGAGGGACCUCAUUGAUGCACA